rnacentral:lncRNA from 1 species
CGUGGAGGAGCUUCCACAUAUUGUCGUCCACGUGGGAACCCGCGGCGGGGAAGCAGACGCCUGGGCUGUGGGGCACUGCGGCCAUCUGAGCAGGCGGCCUGCUGGCCCCUCAGGGACACGGAGGCUCUGGGGGCAGAGUGGUGAGGUCAGGGGCCCGGGCUCCCCGUGGUACCCAGCUGGGCCCUGCUGGACUUCCUGUGGUCUGGUAGGUCCUGCAGGCCAUGGGGACUCCUUGACCCCUGUGCUGGGCCUGGGCCCUGGACAGCAAGCCCUGAGCCUGGGGGAGGAGGUCCUCAGGGCCUGCCUGGCCCUGCCACCCCAGGCUGCUGCUUGCUGUCUGUUGUUGGGACCGAGGGCUGCCUGGGUAACCUGGGUGCGUCCAGCCCAGCCAUGGGUCCAGCUGAGGGCUGUUAAGCCCACCCAAGUGCAGAGAGAACAGAGUGGGAGAGUCCAGCACAGGCUGCACAGGGCUCAGGGCAGACCAGUGCGCAGGGAAUGGUCUCAGGUCCAGGAGAGGCGUCCAGAGGAGGGGCAGCUUCCCAGCACAUGAGGGUAGGACUGGCGAGGGAAGGACCAGGCAGAGGCCGGGUCUUCACCAGCCCUGAGCCCCAGCAGUCUGCUGCCCUCCUGGCCGGACAGCCCCCGCCCAGGACUCCCUUGCUUGACAGUGUGGCUCUGAGCCACUUGGGGGGUGUGGGUCUCCCCCGCACGAGGCUGGUGGCACCUGGGUUCCCAGCCGCCCUCACAGCUGACCUGAGGGCCUGGUGGGGCAGAGCCCUGGCUGUGGGAGCUCUGCUCUGGCUGGUGGCCUGUCACAGUGACCCUGUCACUGCUGCCCAGUGGGCCCAAGGCCUCUCACUACCCCAGGGCAGCUGCCCUGUGGGGGUCAGCGGAUACAGGCUCCAAGGGAGGUGAGCACCGUCGGGGCUCAGUGCUGUCCAGGAUGAUCCCGGUCCCUUGGGACAGCAACUCCAGGAAUCACAUAGCUGUGCUUGUCCAGGGCCAGGCAGUCUCGUCCACGGCCCAGCUGUACAUGCCUGGGACCACUGGCCACCCAGGACCCUCUAGGAGGUGUCCUCAUCGGGGGUGUUUCAGGCAGCAGCAGGAGCACAGGCCACUGGCCCUCACUUGCCCGUCUUCAGCUCCAGAGACAGGUCAGUCCACACCUUUCAGGGAGACUGGGGUGGGUGUGGGUCCUUUCCACAGGUGCUGCUGACCGUGUCUUCAGGGUCCUGUCCUUUGUUCUCUUAGGGCUGUGCAAGAGGGUGCUCAGGACUUUGGUUCUCAGCUUCCACUUUAGGGUGGGUUUGUUUUUUUUGUUGUUGUUUUGUUUUUGGUACCAGGAAUUGAACCCGGAGUCUGGUUCCCAACCACUGAGCCACAUCUGCAGCCCUUUAAAAAAAAAUGUCAUCAUUUUAGUUGUAGAUGGACACAGUCCUUUAUUUUACUUAUUUAAUUGUUGUGGUGCUGA